rnacentral:lncRNA from 1 species
ACUCUAAAAAACCUAGAAAUGACUACUUGAAAAUCAACCGUUUCUAUUCUUUUUGGAAGCUAAGCUUCAUCUUCUCCAUGAAGAGAACACAAACAGAACCCUAGCGUGAAGUUUCAGUCGCAAAACCCUAGACCCAAAAAUCCAGUAGCCAUCGGCAACGACCCCCCCCCCCCCCAGCCGUUGCUUCUUCUUCCUCGACUAACCUAGGAGACACACCAAUUGACCCGCCGUUCUUCCACCUUCGAGCUCGCCGGAAAACGGACAAUAGCCUUUAAACACUAACCUUUAACACUCCUGACCCCUCUCUUCAACCAGAUCAGCCGUUACACACACAGAGGACCCUUCUUCUUCAUUUUGAAACAAAAAACUAAGGCCUAAGGCUAAGGGCUAAAAGUAGGAUCAGCAGCUAGAACGGAGAGGACAAAAAACCAGCCGCUGCUAUGUUUUUUCACCUCGCCAAUCAACGACUCUUAAGCCUUUUCUUAUUCUUUGAGCCCAACACACACACACAAGAACACAGACCCCAGCAGCAAGCAACAGUUUCAAAAUGAUGGGUUUUGAUUGAAUAUUGGAGUUGUUUGUGAGUUCGUUCGAGUUCACCUUCGGCCAUUGGUUCCCGUCCGUUGGUUCGUGGUAGUGUUUCUGUGGCCAUCUCAAUUUUUUUGAUCGAGUUUGAGUCACUUAGUUGGCUUGUAUUUGCUUCAGAAAGGAUUAAUAAAGCAGGUUGAACAUCAUUGAGCAUUUUUCGAGUUUGAAUCAUUGUAGUUUCGCGGUCAAGGUCGCCAUUUGAGAGUCGAGGUCAUUUGCGGUGAUAUUAUAUUCCGAUCGAGUCAGGUUCAUCGCCUUCGUUCCGGAUCCGAUCAGAGGUGAAUGAAUUUGGAAUAGAAAGUUUACACAUAGAUUUCAGGUUAGCUUCAACAGUUGGUGCUACUUGCAGUUUAUUCAAUCUCCUUUUGCAUGCCAGUGAAUAUUAAGUAUGCAAUGUAUUAAAACCAACAUCAUCCCAAUCAAAUCUAUGGUUUUACAUGCUUCAACAGCUUGCUGAGGUGACCGUUUUAUAACCUCUGUCCAUUUAAGCUUUCAAAUAUGUGCUUCAUUAAUCCAUGUAAAGCUCAUGAAAUUGCUUUUAAAAUUGCUGAAAAUUUCUUUUGGUUUCUAUGUUGAAAAUGAGAGUUCACGUGGGAUUUGCUGCGCCAUUUUGUUUAUUACAGUGGUUUAUCUUUGUUAUGGUUUUAUAUGUCUUUUGUAUGUUUCUAAAUAGAUUAGUUGAACAACUUUUCGUUUUAGCUGAAUUUUUGUUUAUAAUUAUAAGAAUGAAGAUUUGGUCGUAUUAGAGGACCAUUGUUUGAUCUUGCGAAAAUAAUUGGAUCUUUCGUAGAAAAAACUUUAAGCGUGACUUAAUCUAUCACCGUGAUUGUGUACAUGUUCGCUGACAUAAUUACGAUCCCCAAAACAAACACACAGUAUGCGUUCGUGCAACUUUGACCAAAAUUUUCUAAUAAUAAUAAAGUGUGAUUAAUUGUGAACACGUACGCGUGACACGAUUCUUGAUGUACCAAACACAAUGAGUACACGUAUGCGUGACUCGUUUUAGGUUAUUUUCUUAAUUAAAAGCGGUAAGAGGUAAAAAUGCACAUAGGUUUAAAAAUAAGUAAUUAGACAAUUUAAAUAAGCCAGGUAUGAUUAAAGCGACCAUGCUAAAACCACGGAACCCAGGAAUGCCUAACACCUUCUCCCGGGUUAACAUAAUUUCUUACCUGGAUUUUUGUGUUCGCAAACCAUAAAUAAGAGUCAACCUUUCCUCAAUUCGGGAUUUUAAACCGGUGACUUGGGACACCAUAAAUAUUCCCAAGUAGUGACUCUGAAUUUAAUAUAAAUUAUCCCGUUUUGAUUGUCACUUAAAUUGGAAAAAACUCCCUUAUACCCUUCCGGGUGUAGGAAAAAGGAGGUGUGACAGCUCUGGCGACUCUGGUGGGGAAUAAGAAUCCAGAAUCUCUGGUUCAGGGUUCAAGAAUUUGAGCUUAUUUUUCUGAUUUUAUUUGGCUUUAUUUAGUGUUUGUAUUAUUGUAUUUUUUGAAUCUAAUGUGCUAAUUGUUGUAUAUUUACCAUUUCGAUAUUAUUUGAAUUGUAUUAAAAUGCCUUCUUACGCCACCCCUCUGAGUAUUCUAAAAGCGCUGCACACAUUUGCGUGGCCCACUUUUUCUAUAGAAGUUAUACCAAAUAGAACGAGGCUGGGCUAGCAACAAGGCUGGGUAGACUUUUGUGCUCCCGGUACGUUGCCUCCUCUUCGGCUCGAGUUGUCCACUCGGGUAAGUCAGGUCAAGAACACAACCCCAGGUUUAAGCUUAGAAUAACAUAACCUCAUGCCAGAUCCCUAGUAGGAACGUUUGUUGUAUCACGUGCAUUUGACUUAGGGGGCUCAACACAGGGGUUGAGUCCGUCUAGGACAAGUGUACCCAAAAAUAAAAGACCAUCCUGAGGUAUCCUAUGUGCUACAUGCUGCAAUCUUCAAGGGUGAAAAGGAUCAUUUGGCGGAUCAAUGAUGGUUAAGGGUAAAUGAGAAAGAAAAGAGGGUGAAGUGUGAAAAUAAAGCAAGUAGGUCCCAAUUAUGUUUUUCUUUCACAUUUGUUUUAAGAAAAAGACCAAAAAAAUACAUGAAAAAGUCCCCAAAAAGAUUUGCAUUUUCCCAUCAUUUUUCAAAAAAAAGGAAAAAGAAAAAAAUCCAAAAAGAGUUUAUAUGUUUCAUCAUUUUUUCAAAAAAAAAAAAGACAAAAAAUAUAUUUUCUCUAAAUUAUUUGUUUUUUUAAAUUCUCGUCCGUAUCCGAGUUGUCCGAACUACGCAUACCUGAUUCUCGUCUUUCGGGGCAUGAUACGUAGGCAACCCACAUAGGGUCUGGUCUUCCUAGUGAGUCUUAGGUUCUUGGCUUCGCGGGAUAUUAGCCAAAUCUUGCAUUUUAGCCAAUUUUAGCCACAUAGGUUAACUUUAGAAAAAUAGUCACAAUCAUAUCUUGCAUGUGUCCAACGACAAAGGUUAUUGUCUCACAUAGAGUUUUAAGUCUUUAACUUUAUUUGGUCUUAAUUUUUUCAUACAGAUGUGGAUUUACUUACCGGAGUUUGAGCAUGAGAGACACCCCGGAACCAUCCAGUUAGGAUCGCUCAUUCAGAAGUUGCUUAAAGAGAUUUUUUUAUGUUUUGAGUCUGUUUUUCUUUUUAUGUCGUCUUUUACCUUCUAGUUUUGUUACAGUAAUGUCGAG